UGCCAGCCGCCGCGGUAAUACGUAGGGUGCGAGCGUUGUCCGGAAUUACUGGGCGUAAAGAGCUCGUAGGUGGUUUGUCGCGUUGUUCGUGAAAACCUGAGGCUUAACCUUGGGCGUGCGGGCGAUACGGGCAGACUGGAGUACUGCAGGGGAGACUGGAAUUCCUGGUGUAGCGGUGGAAUGCGCAGAUAUCAGGAGGAACACCGGUGGCGAAGGCGGGUCUCUGGGCAGUAACUGACGCCGAGGAGCGAAAGCGUGGGGAGCGAACAGGAUUAGAUA
rnacentral:rRNA from 1 species